AUGCAAUUUUCCGUAUACCUAGUUAUGUUAUUACUUACGUCGACAAAGAAUAAAACUAUCAUUUUUUUUCCCUUUCCUAGUUCUUCUUCCAAGCUCAGGAUAACUCCAAGGGGCUGUGAGUUUUUUACAAAUGGGAGCUUUCCCUUCACCUCCCCAAUGAGGGUGGUUCACAGAGUUAAUAACUACCCUUCUUACUACAGGGCAUUUUCCUAG
rnacentral:rRNA from 1 species